UACGGAGGGGGCUAGCGUUGUUCGGAUUUACUGGGCGUAAAGAGCGUGUAGGCGGCCACGCAGGUCCGUUGUGAAAACUGGAGGCUCAACCCUUCAGACGUCGACGGAAACCGUAUGGCUAGAGUCCGGAAGAGGAGAGUGGAAUUCCGUGGUGUAGCGGUGAAAUGCGCAAGAUAUCAGGAAGACACCAAUGGCGAAGGCAGCUCUCUGGGACGGUACUGACGCUGAGACGCGAAAGCGUGGGGAGCGAACAGG
rnacentral:rRNA from 1 species